GACGAACGCUGGCGGCGUGCUUAACACAUGCAAGUCGAACGAGUGGCGAACGGGUGAGUAAGACGGGAGUAACCUGCCCUCUCUUUGGGAUAGGCCUUGGAAACGGGGUCUAAUACCGGAUAACGGGGGAUGGGCUCGCGGCCUAUCAGCUUGUUGGUGGGGUGAUGGCCUACCAAGGCGGUGACGGGUAGCCGGCCUGAGGGGGUGACCUGCGACAUUGGGACUGAGCUACCGCCCAGGCGCCUACGGGGUGCGGCAGCUGGGGAUAGUGCCCAAUGGGCGAAAGCCUGAUGCCGCGUGGCCGCGUAGGGUAUUAAGGCUUUCGGGUUGUAAACCUCUUUCGCUAUCGAACGGGUAGGUGGACAAAAAGCGCCGGCUAACUACGUGCCACCAGCCGCGGUAAUUC
rnacentral:rRNA from 1 species